CCUGCGCGGAAGAUGUAACGGGGCUCAAACCACACACCGAAGCUGCGGGUGUCACGCAAGUGACGCGGUAGAGGAGCGUUCUGUAAGCCUGUGAAGGUGAGUUGAGAAGCUUGCUGGAGGUAUCAGAAGUGCGAAUGCUGACAUGAGUAACGACAAUGGGUGUGAAAAACACCCACGCCGAAAGACCAAGGGUUCCUGCGCAACGUUAAUCGACGCAGGGUUAGUCGGUUCCUAAGGCGAGGCUGAAAAGCGUAGUCGAUGGGAAACAGGUUAAUAUUCCUGUACUUCUGGUUACUGCGAUGGAGGGACGGAGAAGGCUAGGCCAGCUUGGCGUUGGUUGUCCAAGUUUAAGGUGGUAGGCUGAAAUCUUAGGUAAAUCCGGGGUUUCAAGGCCGAGAGCUGAUGACGAGUCGUCUUUUAGAUGACGAAGUGGUUGAUGCCAUGCUUCCAAGAAAAGCUUCUAAGCUUCAGGUAACCAGGAACCGUACCCCAAACCGACACAGGUGGUCGGGUAGAGAAUACCAAGGCGCUUGAGAGAACUCGGGUGAAGGAACUAGGCAAAAUGGCACCGUAACUUCGGGAGAAGGUGCGCCGGCUAGGGUGAAGGAUUUACUCCGUAAGCUCUGGCUGGUCGAAGAUACCAGGCCGCUGCGACUGUUUAUUAAAAACACAGCACUCUGCAAACACGAAAGUGGACGUAUAGGGUGUGACGCCUGCCCGGUGCCGGAAGGUUAAUUGAUGGGGUUAGCGCAAGCGAAGCUCUUGAUCGAAGCCCCGGUAAACGGCGGCCGUAACUAUAACGGUCCUAAGGUAGCGAAAUUCCUUGUCGGGUAAGUUCCGACCUGCACGAAUGGCGUAACGAUGGCGGCGCUGUCUCCACCCGAGACUCAGUGAAAUUGAAAUCGCUGUGAAGAUGCAGUGUAUCCGCGGCUAGACGGAAAGACCCCGUGAACCUUUACUGUAGCUUUGCACUGGACUUUGAGCCUGCUUGUGUAGGAUAGGUGGGAGGCUUUGAAGCGUGGACGCCAGUUCGCGUGGAGCCAUCCUUGAAAUACCACCCUGGCAUGCUUGAGGUUCUAACUCUGGUCCGUAAUCCGGAUCGAGGACAGUGUAUGGUGGGCAGUUUGACUGGGGCGGUCUCCUCCUAAAGAGUAACGGAGGAGUACGAAGGUGCGCUCAGACCGGUCGGAAAUCGGUCGCAGAGUAUAAAGGCAAAAGCGCGCUUGACUGCGAGACAGACACGUCGAGCAGGUACGAAAGUAGGUCUUAGUGAUCCGGUGGUUCUGUAUGGAAGGGCCAUCGCUCAACGGAUAAAAGGUACUCCGGGGAUAACAGGCUGAUACCGCCCAAGAGUUCAUAUCGACGGCGGUGUUUGGCACCUCGAUGUCGGCUCAUCACAUCCUGGGGCUGAAGCCGGUCCCAAGGGUAUGGCUGUUCGCCAUUUAAAGUGGUACGCGAGCUGGGUUUAGAACGUCGUGAGACAGUUCGGUCCCUAUCUGCCGUGGACGUUUGAGAUUUGAGAGGGGCUGCUCCUAGUACGAGAGGACCGGAGUGGACGAACCUCUGGUGUUCCGGUUGUCACGCCAGUGGCAUUGCCGGGUAGCUAUGUUCGGAAAAGAUAACCGCUGAAAGCAUCUAAGCGGGAAACUUGCCUCAAGAUGAGAUCUCACUGGGAACUUGAUUCCCCUGAAGGGCCGUCGAAGACUACGACGUUGAUAGGCUGGGUGUGUAAGCGUUGU
rnacentral:rRNA from 1 species